CCUGCUCACAUUUAUUGGGGCUAAAGAGACUAAAACAGUUAAUUUUCUUCCCAAAGACUUGGAAAUCUAUAUAAUGCGACAGUAAAUUUAAGUAAGCACACAACAAAACUUCCUGGAUCGUGAACCAACAGGAGGUGUGAUAGCCUGUAGAUAUCAAUUCAGACAGCUUUACAAAGUGCCAUUCCUCUAAGGCAUUCCUGUGGUCUCACAGCCAGAUGUUCACAUCCACAAAGGCAUCUCUUCACCGACAGAGAGAUAGGUUGUUCAGGAGCAGUGGGCGCAGGAGGCGAAAGCAGCACACACUUAGUUAUUGAGUCAUUUCAAAGAGGAAAUUUGGCGUUCCAAGAAACAGUUUUGUACAUCCAAAAAAAAAAAAAAAUCAAUGAGAAUUUUCCACUUGGACGGGGAAGAUUAUUUUGUGCUGCAGACAACAAGAAAAUCCAAGCCGACUUAUUUGCUUUCCAAAGGCCACUUUCAAAGUACAGAUUUCAAGUCCAGAACAAAUACCCACACUGUGAACAAACAGGGUGGCUAAGACGCUAUCUAACAUUUGCUUUCAUAAUGGCUUUCUUCCUCUCUUCUCUAACUUGUUCUAAGAGGAGAACCCCAGCGGCAGGCUCUGGAAGCUGUACCUUUGCAUCCAGUGAGAUUUCUGGAAGGUGGGUUGUUACACCCAGGUGUGAACCUGGUGGGCUUUGUCACAGCCAAACGCUUGCUAUAGGAACCCUUCCUGAAGCAGGAGGAGGAAGCUGAGGGACAGGUAAGUAAAGCCGUCAGGGGCUAAUUACCCAAAACGAGGACACCAGGACACCGGCCUUUCCCGGCACAGUUGCCACCUUGUAUCUUUGUAAACAAAGUCAGUUGGGCUGGUAUUGCGCCCUGCGAUGAGCCAGAGCUACAGACACUUGGGUUCCAUCUACCAAAGUAGAUUCUGACACACUCUCUCACACACAUUUUGCUAUAUGAUGAAAAAGACACCAUUAUUCAGGCACUUUGCAACAUUAAAAAAAAAAUCCAGUUAUGUAAAAUCAGUUUGACAAACAACCCCCCCCCCCACCCGCCGCCCCAAGCUGAAAAAUAAAUUCAAAACAAAUGCUUUUAUAAAAAAUCUCUGAGAAGGCGAUUUCCCUCAGUUUCGCCGGGGAAAUCGCCCAGGCAUUUGCCUCCGUCUUUACUCUAAAUCCACUCACAGCAGCUUCUACUUCGGAGAUAACAGCAUUUCAGGUUACAUGAAAUCGGCCCCACUUAGAACCAGGCAGGCCUGGAAAAUUUACUGAGGGUGGUGCUUGGUGUCACUGUUGACAUCCGUGCAGAGAAAUCCAAUUUCAGUUGAGCUCCUGUAAUCCCCUGAGCUGUGACAAAUGCCCCUCGCCUCAAGGGAGGAAGGUGACUAUGUGUGCAGGUCCGCCACUCAGAUGUCAUUUAUAUUCAGACUAAUAUGAAAUACCCUUUCAAAAGAGAGGUUUGUUUUUCCUGCUGUAACUGAAGACAUUCACCAGAAGACGGAGCCACUUUAUAUGGAAGAUUUUCUAAUAAAUGAUUGAAAGGAUUUGGGCUGGUUGCCAUUCAGAAGUUUUCUAGAGUUCUAUGUUUUAUACAAACUGUGACUAAAAAAAGCACGUGGCCAGGGAAUGUUCUGUACAGACAUCAGAUGCUAAUGUACACAUGUGAUCCCCUGAAUAUAUACAUGCCCACUUAGGAUACAUUCCACCGCACAUGUGAUCCCCUGAAUACAUACAUGCCCACUUAGGAUACAUUCCACCGCACAUGUGAUCCCUUGCAUAUAGACAUCUCCACUUAGGGAUACAUUGCACUGCAGAGGCAAGGCUGAUGAUAACAGGUCUUUGAUAACAGAUCUAAAAUAGCAGCAGUUUAACAAUCUAGUCACCUAGUUACCGGGGGAAACAGAACAGGCCCUGAAUACUCUCCCCGGCUUCCAGGAGAGGUCUCUGUUAACGUGGAACACACACAGUUCUUAUGAAGCACCGGGCUGCUUUGCUAAUGGCAACUGUAUACUGCUAGAGGAAAAAUAUGCUCAUCUUUUCAAAACCUAUUUGCUGAUUAAUUGUAUAACAGGCAGGAUGUAUCACACUGAGGUGACACAAAUCCCAGCAACUGAAGACACCUGAACUGUUUCCAUCCGAUUGCUUGUUGUCACACGAAAUUCUUGAGAGCACAGAAAGUACUCAGAUUGUCUGGACAGCUCCUGGGAGACCAAGACUAAAUUAGGCUGAGUGAAGAGCUGCUCUACAUUGUGUCUGAAAGUAUGUAAAUAACCUGAAUAUCACUUUACAGAGGCAUAAAACCGCACUAGGGGUUGUUGUAAAAGACUUUUGAGUCUACCCUCUUGAGUAAGUUAGGAACUUUAUAACAAAAAUUCACAUGUGUACUAAGUAAAUAAAACCAACCCCCCCCAAAAAAAAACCCCUCUUAUGCUGAUAAAUAUAUCAUUUUAGUCCUAGAAAGGGAAAAGGUCUUUUAAAAUAAUCUUAUUUUGUGUUAUCCAUUAAAUAUCUACACAUGUGCCCAGCUGGAGUCACAUGGGCUCUAUAUGUGUGAAUGGACUACAGUGUCUACUGUUGAUGCACACUGUCUGGUCCAACUCCUGAUCUGUUGGGAAUAUGACCACAGAGCCCAAGAAAGGACCCUGCUGUCUACAAGGAAAGCUUUGGAGCUUUCCCCUUUCAUCCCGUAGAAAACGCUUUUUAGAGACCACAGCUGCUGGCUGACUGUGAGCGGUGAACACUGGUUCACCUUAGAAGAAUAACAUCUGCCAAACAACAGACACUGAAUGAGGCCAUGUUGCCUUACAAGUUACAACCUCUUCCUGGGAAGGGACAACUCCCUCUGAACGGCAGUUUCUCCUGCCUGGAGAUGAGAUCACACGGGGAGAGAGCUGCUAUGUUUCUGCCAAGUCACUGUGGAAACGCUAAGAAGUGCACACGCGGUAGCCAGCAUAGGCAUGCCAGUCAGUGUGUCAGCUCCUGAGAUAAGCAGCGGCUCCACUGCUCACAGAACGUGUUAUUAUGCAGUAUCAUCCUUCCCUCCGGCUCUGGGCCUCUGCCAUGUGUCUUGUGGCAGUGGAACCAACACAGACGUUUGCUCAGUUUGCAAUGCUGCCAAGUGCGGCAAUACCGCCAUGACUACAGUGAGUAUUCACCCAGGCUCCUUGGUUUGGAUGGAAGAUGAGCAGCCUGGUGGGAUCCUUUGGAGGGUAAGAUGGUGAUGUUUUAGAGUCUCCCAGGCUAAAGCAAAGUUCCCAACCUGCUCCACAGACACAGUCCGGACUGUGGGGCUGCUUCUUGAUACACAGGCACACUCAUGCCCCGGUGCGUGGCCUUUUCCAACACCGAAUGCUUUCAGGUAGGUUCAAAGUCUGGGCAGAGGCACUUCCAAAGUUUGGCAAGGAGAAGGAGGCAAGGCUGCUAAGUGGGGCUUUUACCAAUGUGCUGUCUCAUGUGACCCGGAUGUCUGCGCAGGUGACUUUAGGUUGUGGAUGGAUCAUGCUUUUUCUUCUUGCCGCGACAGGACUUGCAGACACAGCAGAUUAUACAGGGAGAGGCCAGGAGCAGCAAGGGUGAGGUCACCAAGGCAAUGACACCUAAUCCCACAAGGAUCCCCACUACCUGGAAAUUGAAGAGAAAACCCUAUGUCAGCAGGUUCUCAACCUUCCUACAAACACAUCAAUACCAUGUGGCAUAGAACACGGCCCUGUAGAGAGACUCCCUUGUGUGCUGUGUGGAAGCAUCACCUGUCAACAAAAAAUUGAUGGCCUGCUAGCAAAAGGUGGGAAGCAGA
rnacentral:lncRNA from 1 species